rnacentral:lncRNA from 1 species
UGUUUGUCCUUAAUGGCAUUUUACAUGUUACAUUACUUUGACAUUUAUACUUUAAGUAGUUCUGACGGAAUAUUCUACGGAAUAUUUUUAAACUCUACUAUCUAUAAGUUUACCUGAGUAAUGAAUGUGAAUACUUUUUACACCGUUGCAGUGCAGUAAUAGGUUGCAAUGAUUGUGACCGGUGAUGUCUGGUUAGAAUUGUCCGUGGCUGGAAUAGACAAGCCAAUCCGGCAGAAAUCACAUCCACAUUCAGAGCAGGAGACCCCACUCGCCUAUUUCGCAGGAAGUGCUUCUGACUGCAAUUCCAGCUGACCAAUGAGAAUCCUACCUGGUGUGAUUGGGGGAGGAGCUAACCUUUUAAAUGCAGGAAUUCAAGAUGGCUGUUGGAGAGUAUGGUAUGCUGCCCUUGUGCUGUUUUAAAUAGCUUUUGUUAGGACUAGUUAAUUGUGUAUUUUGCCAGCAUGUUUCCUAAGUUUGUUUUAAUAAUAUUUAUUUAACUGCUUUAUUUUAGGAAAGUGCUUUUCUUUUUAGAUAUUUUACCUGUGGUUGUUAACUUUGUUUUGUGAGAGGUUUGUUUGUUCCACAUGUGGUUUCAAGCAGGCUAGAAAGAACUCUGCUUGGUUUAGUUUUACUAGCUUAGUGGACUAAAGCACCAUGUAUUUUGGUUAUUUGCCAGGAAAGUAUAUGGUAGUUAGCUUUUUCUUUUUGUUCUCUAGAUAGUUGUAGGUAAUAAUGAUUUUUGUCCAGUGUUCCAGUUUGAUUGCUUGUUUGGGUACUUUGGAAAGACAGCAAGUUUUAGAAUGGUUGUCUGUUUUUAAUAGGCUGUUGUAAAUGCAUUUACCUCCUUUUUUUUUUUUUUUAAAUGCCAUGUUCUUGAACCAAUGACCCGAGACGGGAUUGUAGCAGGCUUAUUUAACAAAUAUAACUGAUGAAACUGGUGAAAUGUAAUGAAUCAAAAUGUAAAUGUCUUGGUAGAAAUCUUUUGAGAUACCAUAGGUCAUUAUAGCUGGUAUUACCUUAGACAUUUCCUAUAAUCAUUUCAGUCUAAUGUCAACUUGGAAAGUUUUUUUCCCACUCCUUCAUGCAGAAUUCUUUCAGCUGUGUGAUUGAUUUUCUUGCAUGCACAACAUGGUUUGAAUUCAAGUGCAUUUUGUUGGGUCAUUGUCAUGUUACGUUAUUCACCUCUGCUUUAACUUUUUUCUUUAACAGAUUUGUCUCA